GAUGAAGAACGCAGCGAAAUGCGAUAAGUAGUGUGAAUUGCAGAAUUCAGUGAAUCAUCGAAUCUUUGAACGCACAUUGCGCCCCUUGGUAUUCCAUGGGGCAUGCCUGUUCGAGCGUCAUUUGUACCUUCAAGCUCUGCUUGGUGUUGGGUGUUUGUCCUUGCUCUAGUGGCGGGACUCGCCUUAAAGUAAUUGGCAGCCAGUGUUUUGGUUUUGAAGCGCAGCACAAGUCGCGAUUCAAGUCUAUACGCUAGUUUCCACAAGUCUUUUAUCACUUUUGACCUCGGAUCAGGUAGGGAUACCCGCUGAACUUAAGCAUAUCAAUAAGCGGAGGA
rnacentral:misc_RNA from 1 species